rnacentral:rRNA from 1 species
UACAGAGGGUGCGAGCGUUAAUCGGAAUUACUGGGCGUAAAGCGCGCGUAGGCGGCUUUGCAAGUCGGGUGUGAAAUCCCCAGGCUUAACCUGGGAACUGCAUUCGAGACUGCAUUGCUAGAGUAUGGGAGAGGGAAGUGGAAUUUCCGGUGUAGCGGUGAAAUGCGCAGAUAUCAGGAAGAACACCGAUGGCGAAGGCAGCUCUCUGGGACGGUACUGACGCUGAGACGCGAAAGCGUGGGGAGCGAACAGG